UGUGAGGAACAUAGGAAUGAAACUAAUCUCAGGUGCUGGGCUUGGGACUGACAUCCCACAAUUCUCUAGCUACAGGUGACCUUUGAGACGACCCAGGCCAAUCCCUGCAUUUGACUGAUAAGAAAUGGAAGCCUGGCCACUGGGUCCACAUCACCCCACAAGUUAGUGAAAAACCAAGAGCAACUAUCUUCCACCUCCCCAGAGUCUGAAGGAUUAACUGGAAGACACUUCCUCCCUGAAGCUUCCCAGGUCAUCCCUGCCCAUGGAGAUCUCUCCUUCCUGUGAAUUAUUCAUCUUGCCUGUCUCUGCCAUUCAUUUGGCUUUUUAAAUGACCUCUACUCCCUUCCAGACCAGCAAAAGUCCAAACAUUUGACAGUAUAUUCUAUUGGUGAGUAUCUGGGGAAACAGUCACUCUCCAACAUUGUUGAUGGGAAUUCAAAAUUAUACAAUCUCUGUGGAGAAGAGUUUUGUAUGUCCAGCAAACAUGCAUGAGCCUUUUCCCUUCAACCCAGAAAUCAUAGUUCUAGGAGCCUACCCCAAAUAUAACUACCAAAAUUGUGAAAUGACGUAUGUUCACAGUUAUUCACUGCAGCACUAUCUGUAAUAGCAAAGACAGAACAAUUCGAACGCCCAUCAGUAGGGGACCCGUUGACUACAUCCCGAAAUAUGCACACAAGAAGUGCUCCUCCACUGUAAAAAGGAAUAAGGAUGGCCUCCAGAAAUACACGGUCAGAAGGGUAAGAAAAGUGUGCUGUCUGUUUGGUUAGAAAAGAAGGAGGAUUGCAAGUAUGUGUUCACAUAAACAACAACAGAGGGAUAAAGCCAAAACUCAUGAAAAACCGUGAUCUCUAAGGAAGCAAAAUGAUGGCAAUUUGAACGAGGGGGAAGGCAGACAUGGAAGCUAAACUUCUCUGCUUGUAUAUUUUUUUAUAACUUUGACUUUUAGCCACGUAGAUAUUUUGCAGUAUUAAAAAACCAAAUCAUCUUUAGAAAAGGCAACGCCUAUCCAUCAAACACAAACUGAGGCAAAUGAAACCAACAGCGUAUCAAGUGGAUUUCAUAAUCACAUGGAGAAGCAUUUCAAGUGACUUUAAAACCCAGGCUUUUGACUGAAGAACCCCAGUGGGAUAGAACCUAUGGCCACAAAGACAUCUUAAACCUUAUUUCUCAGUCUUCCUAGUUAUUCCACAGGACAAAUGACCCAGUUUCACCAACAAAUAACACGGAUAAAAAUGAAAAGGAAGACAUUCUCCUCCAGACUAGAAAAGACUUAAGACACCUACAGCCAAAUGCAACCGUGAACAGAGAGUUUUGAAAUAAUCAAAGCAAACUGAACUCUAGUAUUAGGUGAGAUUAAGAAUUAUUAUCAGUUUUAUUGAGUGUGAUAAUAAUAAAGUGGUUGUGGGUUUUUUAACCCUUUUUCAAAGAUUUGUUUUCUCCCUUAUGUAUAUAGAUUUUUUCUAAAGUGUGGCUUCAAGUAAGUUUCCCAGGAACUAAGUGGUACCAUCUAGAGCUCCAGGGAGACAUUCCUAGGACACUGAGUCAUAUGUCAAACACCUAAGUCAAUGGUGAACUUUUCAGAAGGUGCAAGUGAGAAUUGGAGCCUAAAAGGGAAUGACCUUAAAACAUAUAUUCUGUUGGAUCAAGUUGAUUAAAGUGGAAACAACUUUUUGGCAUGUGUAAAUCAAACCAUUCAAGGCAGAGAACACAGACUCUAGAACCAGGCUGCAGGUUCCAACUCCAGUUCUGUCACUUCCUCCUCUAUGGCCUUGGGGCCAGUUACUUAACCUCCCUGUUCCUCAGUUUCCCUAUCUACAUAAGGGGGGUGAUAAUAAUACCUACCUCAUAAGGUGGUUGUAAGGACUAAUUAAGUUAUGUACACAGGAAGUGCUUAGAACAGUAACUGGUACAUAUGAAGCACGAUAUGUUACUAAAUACAAUAAACCGUUUUUUAUUUAUUUCC